UACUUUUGGAAAAUUUCAGUAUGUGCAUGU
rnacentral:piRNA from 1 species